CAGCAGUCGCCGCGGGAAUACGGAGGGGGCUAGCGUUGUUCGGAACUACUGGGCGUAAAGCGCACGUAGGCGGCUUUGUAAGUUAGAGGUGAAAGCCCGGAGCUCAACUCCGGAAUUGCCUUUAAGACUGCAGAGCUAGCAGGUGAGAGAGGUGAGUGGAAUUCCGAGUGUAGAGGUGAAAUUCGUAGAUAUUCGGAAGAACACCAGUGGCGAAGGCGGCUCACUGGCUCAUACUGGACGCUGAGGUGCGAAAGCGUGGGGAGCAAACAGGAUUAGAUACCCCCGUAGUCCCUGUCUCUUAUAC
rnacentral:rRNA from 1 species